GAUCGCGGCACGGCAAGGUGGUUUCGCAAAGCGGUCCUGUGAUCCGUGUAAUUAUUACCUGUAAAUGUGCCAGUGCCACGACGGAGCAGCCAGGAUGUGGAAAGUUAAGAUGGAGGAUGUAGGAUAAAGGAAGCAGGACGCCAGCAGCAUGAGAGUCUAAGAGAAGCGUUGGUCGACCACAGGCGAGAUGGCGAGAGAUGACAUUCAACGCCACGCAGGGAAGAGAUGAAUACACAAAUGGCACAACAGAGGAAGACAUGAAGGAAGAUGAAAGAGGCCUUUGUC